rnacentral:rRNA from 1 species
GCCACAACUGAGCCCACAGCCCACAGGCACACUCGUUUCGUUCCGAACAGCCCCCGACCAAAACCUCGCUCGUUUCGUUCCCCAAUCUCCUCCUACCUUAGCGCGGCGGACCGGUGGACCGGCGGGUGAAGCGCGGAAGUCGGAAGGCCGGUACCGCGGCAGGCGAGAGGCGGUGCGGCGCCAAGCAGCGGAGCGGGCGACCAGGCUCAGGAUCCGGGCGUUCCGUGCGAUGGGCGGAGAAGGCGGCACGGAGGAGGAGCUGACGGCACAGGAGACAGCGCUCUAUGACCGUCAGAUCCGCGUCUGGGGUGUUGAUGCUCAGAAGAGGCUAAGUAAAGCGCAUGUGCUUGUGUGCGGCGUGAACGGUACUACUAUUGAGUUCUGCAAGAAUAUUGUUCUAGCAGGAGUUGGCAGUUUAUCCUUGAUGGAUGAUCACAUAGUCACUGAGGAUGAUCUCAGUGCAAACUUCCUAAUUCCUCAUGACGUAUGUAUGCAAGGUGUUAGCUCACGAGCUGAGGCUUGCUGCGAGUCCUUGAAAGAUUUCAAUCCAAUGGUCCGAGUUGCUGUCGCAAUAGGUGAUCCAUCACUAAUUGAUGAAGGAUUCGUUGACAGGUUCGACAUCAUUGUAGUUAGCUGUGCAUCUCUUAAAACAAAGUUGUUCAUUAAUGACAACUGUCGGAAGAGAAGCAAGCAUAUUGCCUUCUACUCUGUAGAGUGCAAGGAUUCUUGUGGUGAAAUAUUUGUUGAUUUGCAGAACCAUAGUUAUCUUCAGAAGAAGCCUGGAGGAGAACCUGAACAGCAGGAAUUGACAUAUGCUAGCCUGCAGGAAGCUAUUUCUGUGCCCUGGAGGAAUCUGCCCAGGAAAACAACUAAAUUGUACUACGCCAUGAGAGUCUUGGAAAGUUAUGAAUUAUCUGAAGGGCGCGAGCCUGGUGAGACAACAUUUUGUGAUCUACCUGCAGUUUUGGCUCAGAGGAAGGAUAUGUGUGAUAGAAUGUCUUUAAGCGAGUCUCAAAUUCCUACGGCUCUCCUGGAACGGCUUUUAGCAGCUGGAAAGAAGGAACAUCCUCCUGUAUGUGCAAUCCUUGGUGGCAUUCUUGGUCAGGAGGUGAUUAAGUCUAUAUCUUGUAAGGGCGAUCCGAUCAAGAAUUUCUUUUAUUACGACGCAGCUGAUGGUAAAGGGAUCAUGGAGGACAUCCCCCCAACUCCCGUAGAGCAAUUCGCGUGAUGCCUAGCUCGCAUUGGUCAUUAAUCACUGAUUAUUGUACCCAAUCAUUGGGGCCAACAUGUGACAACUUCUUAUCGUGGCCGAGGCAGAAAACUCAUAUUACCUCCAUCCUUUUUUUCUGAAGCAUUCUUACCCAAGCUGGUCACAAUCGUACUGAGCAGAUUGCUGGUGAUGGUAGUAAGUAACAGGGGAUAACCGAAACAACUAUGUCCAAAUGGAUCAGAAAAGAAAGAAAGAAAAAAAAACUUAUGUCAAGGUCAUCCCAAGUAGCUGUUCAGGAGUUUUUUUUCUGAAGCAUUCUUACACCGGAUAGGUGAUGAGGUAGUUUUUGGUCUGUUCUUGGACCCGAACUAACAGGAUCAUUUCCUCUGAGGAAUGACAAGUAGGAGGUCCAAGUUUCUCCUUGCGGCAGAACUCCAGCAUAUCUGAUGUGAUGUUGAGGCGGAUAACUUGAGCUGCCACCAAGGGAUGCACUAGAAUUUGUGGCAUCUAUAACAUAUGGUUUGUGCUCAAAAUCAAAGUGGGGUGGAGCUUUGAUGCUCCUGGUUUUUGAAAUCUGAUUUGAA